rnacentral:rRNA from 1 species
GGGUUGUGAGGUUAAGCGACUAAGCGUACACGGUGGAUGCCCUGGCAGUCAGAGGCGAUGAAGGGCGUGCUAAUCUGCGAUAAGCGCCGGUAAGGUGAUAUGAACCGUUAUAACCGGCGAUACCCGAAUGGGGAAACCCAGUGUGAUUCGUCACACUAUCAUUAACUGAAUCCAUAGGUUAAUGAGGCGAACCGGGGGAACUGAAACAUCUAAGUACCCCGAGGAAAAGAAAUCAACCGAGAUUCCCCCAGUAGCGGCGAGCGAACGGGGAGGAGCCCAGAGCCUGAAUCAGCAUGUGUGUUAGUGGAAGCGUCUGGAAAGGCGCGCGAUACAGGGUGACAGCCCCGUACACAAAAGCGCAUGUGCUGUGAGCUCGAUGAGUAGGGCGGGACACGUGGUAUCCUGUCUGAAUAUGGGGGGACCAUCCUCCAAGGCUAAAUACUCCUGACUGACCGAUAGUGAACCAGUACCGUGAGGGAAAGGCGAAAAGAACCCCGGCGAGGGGAGUGAAAAAGAACCUGAAACCGUGUACGUACAAGCAGUGGGAGCACCCUUUGGGGUGUGACUGCGUACCUUUUGUAUAAUGGGUCAGCGACUUAUAUUCUGUAGCAAGGUUAACCGUAUAGGGGAGCCGGAGGGAAACCGAGUCUUAACCGGGCGUUAAGUUGCAGGGUAUAGACCCGAAACC